UUUCUUUGUGUGAGAAUUUAUUUUAUUCCCUUGUUUGAAAAUUUUAUAAAAUUUAUGCAGAGAUUUAAAUGUAGAAAAUUAAUUUAUUUAUUCUUAUGCUUUUUACUCAUCUUUCAGGGUGUAAAGUAUGUUGCUGUAACAUAAAUUCAUAAAAAUUCUAACUAAUGUAAACCUUAACUCUUACAGCAACACGCACCACUCUUACUUGAAUAUAUUAUCUUGUCUCUCCCAUUUCAAGCUCAUUGCAUUUACAUGAGCCUCAUCACAUUUACAUCUAUAGGAAACAGAAAGUCUAACUAAACAACAGUUCUUAGCUAUUCUGAUCAAUUUAAACAGGUUAAAUCAUAUUUAAACUGGAGAAUAAACGUGCUAAAAGAUCCCCCACCCCUAAAAAAUUCUCCAAGGACUGGAUAUAAAAAGGAUAGAAAAUAUUAUGCAUGCUCUUUGACAGCCUUUGUAGUUUGGAAUACAACAUACAUUUAAAGCAAUUCAAAGAAUUACUCCAUUUGUGCACCAAAGCAUAUUCCUCUUACAAGCUCAUUUUAGUGGUCUUGUGCUCUUGGUUGAUGUAUUUAAACAAUAGAAACAAGUAAAUGUUUUUAUUAUUUGACUUAUCAAUCACAGAUUAAUCGAUGUAUCGGUUAAUUUUACCUAUAAUUUGCUAAAAUGACAACACAUUAAGCAGAAGCAAAAGUUAGACAUUUUAUCCCUGAAGGAACAGAGUGGAGUACACUUUUAUUGAGGUUUUUUCAAGUUAUUUUUCACAUUCGCCUGUGAGAAAAUGACAAAAUAUGUUGAGAAAAUUUCAGGGGUUUUUUGGGAGGCUUCAAAAGAGUUCAAUCAGGUGCAGAGCAGUUACGAAAAAUAACUUCAAUCACAUCUUAAUUCUCGGCCAAACACGCUGGUAUGUUCAUAACUAAUAUCCUUGGGUUAUUUAAGCAUGUCCUUGAGUCUUUGACUUGAUCCAGUCGAGGAAGGUAGAGACUCUUGAGUAGACUCC